rnacentral:sRNA from 1 species
AAGGACUAGUCAGUAACUUUAGAAUUUCUGCCACGGAAAUUAUUUUUCUUAAACUUACUAAAAGAGUAGUUAGUUAUAUUGCUAGUAAAAUUAUUUUAUUGAUAUAAGAAGCCUAACUUUGUUUGAAAAGUCUAAAUUUUAGUCUAGUCUACAGUUGUCAAACAAAUAGCAAAUCGUACCCCUACCUUAAAAAUAUUUUCAAAAAGUAUCUAUAAUCUUAUAGGAAUAAAUAUUUUAGGCUUGAAUACUAGUUUUAUUUUUGAAAUUUAAAAAGGCAAAUUAGUUCUAGGCUGGUGUCCCAUUGAAUUUUAAGCAGAGCUCCUGUUGAAAUGUACGUAAGCAUCUUCCCAGCAAAUAAAAAUUGUCUCCGCUGGGGGUUUCAGUUUUACCUGAUUUGUACCUAAGGCAAGCUGAAUACAAACAGUAAAUAUGCCUAAAAUUCUUGUUUUACAACUAAUUUUACUUUCCACAGGUUGCUGGUGGUAGGAAUGUUCCACCCGCAGUACAAAAAGUAUCACAGGCUUCUAUUGACCAGAGCAGGCAGAUGAAAUACCAGUCUUUUAAUGAGUACCGCAAACGCUUUAUGCUGAAGCCUUAUGAAUCAUUUGAAGAACUUACAGGAGAAAAGGAAAUGUCUGCAGAGUUGGAAGCACUCUAUGGUGACAUCGAUGCUAUGGAGCUGUAUCCUGGCCUUCUGGUAGAAAAGCCUCGUCCAGAUGCCAUCUUUGGUGAGACCAUGGUAGAAGUUGGAGCACCAUUCUCCUUGAAAGGACUUAUGGGUAAUGUUAUAUGUUCUCCUGCCUACUGGAAGCCAAGCACUUUUGGUGGAGAAGUGGGUUUUCAAAUCAUCAACACUGCCUCAAUUCAGUCUCUCAUCUGCAAUAACG